GGCUCACCAAGGCGACGAUCCCUAACUGGUCUGAGAGGAUGAUCAGUCACACUGGAACUGAGACACGGUCCAGACUCCUACGGGAGGCAGCAGUGGGGAAUAUUGCACAAUGGGCGCAAGCCUGAUCCAGCCAUGCCGCGUGUAUGAAGAAGGUCUUCGGAUUGUAAAGCACUUU
rnacentral:rRNA from 1 species